rnacentral:rRNA from 1 species
GACGAACGCUGGCGGCGUGCUUAACACAUGCAAGUCGAACGAAGAGCGAUGGAAGCUUGCUUCUAUCAAUCUUAGUGGCGCACGGGUGAGUAACGCGUAAUCAACCUGCCCUUCAGAGGGGGACAACAGUUGGAAACGAUUGCUAAUACCGCAUACGAUCUAAUCUCGGCAUCGAGGAGAGACGAAAGGUUGCCUCUACAUGUAAGCCAUCACUGAAGGAGGGGAUUGCGUCUGAUUAGCUAGUUGGAGGGGUAACGGCCCACCAAGGCGAUGAUCAGUAGCCGGUCUGAGAGGAUGGACGGCCACAUUGGGACUGAGACACGGCCCAGGCUCCUACGGGAGGCAGCAGUGGGGAAUCUUCCGCAAUGGACGAAAGUCUGACGGAGCAACGCCGCGUGAGGGAUGACGGCCUUCGGGUUGUAAAGCUCUGUUAAUCGGGACGAAAGGCCUUCUUGCGAAUAGUGAGAAGGAUUGACGGUACCGGAGUAGAAAGCCACGGCUAACUACGUG